UACGUAGGGACCAAGCGUUGUUCGGAUUUACUGGGCGUAAAGGGCGCGUAGGCGGCGUGGUAAGUCACUUGUGAAAUCUCUGAGCUUAACUCAGAACGGUCAAGUGAUACUGCUGUGCUAGAGUGCGGAAGGGGCAAUCGGAAUUCUUGGUGUAGCGGUGAAAUGCGUAGAGAUGUGGAGGAACACCAAUGGCGAAGGCAGCCUUCUGGGCCAACACUGACGCUCAUGCACGAAAGCGUGGGGAGCAAACAGG
rnacentral:rRNA from 1 species